rnacentral:rRNA from 1 species
GAUGAACGCUGGCGGCGUGCUUAACACAUGCAAGUCGAACGGAAAGGCCCUGCUUUUGUGGGGUGCUCGAGUGGCGAACGGGGGAGUAACACGUGAGUAACCUGCCCUUGUCUUUGGGAUAACUUCAGGAAACUGGGGCUAAUACCGGAUAGGAGCUCCUGCUGCAUGGUGGGGGUUGGAAAGUUUCGGCGGUUGGGGAUGGAUUCGCGGCUUAUCAGCUUGUUGGUGGGGUAGUGGCUUACCAAGGCUUUGACGGGUAGCCGGCAUGGGAGGGUGAACGGCCACCAUGCGACUGAGAUAGGCCCCAGAAUCCAACCGGAGGCAGUAGUGGGGAAUAUUGCACAACGGGCGGAAGCCUGAUGCAGAAACGCCGCGUGCGGGAUGCCGGCCUUCGGGUUGUAAACAGCUUUCGACUGAGACGAAGCGUGAGUGACGGUAAUGGGUAAAGAAGCACCGGCUAACUACGUG